CGGGGAAAGGGUCCGUUCCCUUGUCGUCCCGCCUCGCCACCCUGCCAGGGAAGGGUGAUUGUGAGGAAGACUCCAGUGCAUCUGGGAUCUCGUCAAUUCCUCCAACAAUAUUUCUACAACAUAGUUGGCAACGAUAACGGAGGCUCGUUUGUGUUCAGGAUCCACUACGUCAUUGCUGCAUGACCUUGGGUGUGAAAGAGCCUUGGGUGAGCUCAGGCACUCUGAGGUGGCCCGGAGGGCCGGCGGCAGCUGCAGCAGCAGGAGAAGCAGCAGCAGCAGGAGAAGCAGCAGCAG